GUGCCAGCAGCCGCGGUAAUACCGGCAGCACGAGUGAUGGCCGAUAUUAUUGGGCCUAAAGCGUCCGUAGCUGGCCGGACAAGUCCGUUGGGAAAUCCACCCGCUUAACGGGUGGGCGUCCAGCGGAAACUGUCCGGCUUGGAGCCGGAAGACCUGAGGGGUACGUCCGGGGUAGGAGUGAAAUCCUGUAAUCCUGCACGGACCACCGAUGGCGAAAGCACUUCGAGAAAACGGAUCCGACAGUGAGGGACGAAAGCCAGGGUCUCCAACCGGAUUAGAUACCCCGGUAUCC
rnacentral:rRNA from 1 species